rnacentral:rRNA from 1 species
CAAUGGRCGAAARUCYSACGGAGCAACACCSCGUGAGUGAUGAARGCUUUYGGGUMGUAAAACUCUGUUGUUANGGAARAACAAGUGCUAGUUGAAUAAGCUGGCACCUUGACGGUACCUAACCAGAAARCCACGGCUAACUACGUGCCAGCAMCCGCGGUAAUACGUAGGUGGCAAGCGUUAUCCGGAAUUAUUGGGCGUAAAGCGCGCGCAGGUGGUYUCUUAAGUCUGAUGUGAAAGCCCACGGCUCAACCGUGGAGGGUCAUUGGAAACUGGGAGACUUGAGUGCAGAAGAGGAAAGUGGAAUUCCAYGUGUAGCGGUGAAAUGCGUAGAGAUAUGGAGGAACACCAGUGGCGAAGGCGACUUUCUGGUCUGUAACUGACRCUGAGCGCGA